AACAACUCUUUUUUUCUUCCCUUUUUUCCCCAUACUUCUAUAUAUUUCCUAAAACCCAUGGUAGUGGGAAAUUAAAAAAAAAUAUAGAUCCGUCUCCGCUCAUGUGAGAGAAAAUUUGUAAAAAUAUCAAAUUUUAUUUAUAGAAAUAUCAAUUCCCUACAAUAAUACAAGCGUCAGAGCAAAAAGUUUUGUUUUUUUAAUGUCCUGAAAAAAAAAUUAAACAUUUUAAAACAUCAAUAUGACCAAACACAAACAAUGGGGACAAGGUGUAUAAUGAAUAGAACAACAUAUCUGAAUCAAAUCUCUUCAACAUCGAUCUAGUAGUGUUACCGUUCGAAAUUAAGCCACUUCCUGCUCAUAAUCAGGGCGCAAAGGGGUGUUGCUAGAACCAAUUAUACUGCUAGAGCUAAUUUAUUUAAUGCUAGAGCAAAUGGUGCAUCAUAAAUUUUGUACUUGGUGUUUAAUGAAUUGUGACAGAUUUGGAAGCUCAAAAAUCCUUUUUGAAUUAAAUCUCUAGCUAUGAUUCCUUCUAUUUCAUUUCUAUCAAAUUGCCCAAUUACUUGCCGUUGCUGAUCAUCUUUCUCUCUAUCUCUUUUUCGACUCCCUUCUGAUUUGGAAGCUCGGAAGUCUUUAUGAUCCAUUUUCACACUCUUAACUGCAUUAAUCACAUGAGAUACACAUGUAAAUAUAGUGUGGAUGAUUAGUCACCUAUACUCAUAUUUCAAAGUCCAUUUGAACUUUUCUGCAUGCUGUGCGGCUGUCACUGUUAUUGAAUCCGCAAAACCAGUCAGCCCAGUAAUCCUUGCUAUGAAAUCAGUAAUAGUCUCAUCCUCCUUUUGCCGAAUUGAUAAAAACUCCCUAGAAUACGCAUCCCUAUCAGCGUUUGGGAAGUGCUACUAAUAGAAAAGGUCACAAAAAUUACUCCAUAUGAGUGCAUCGAUGAAUCCAUCUCCCUGCGUACCCUUCAAUGAUUUCGACCAUUUCUGAGCAUCAUACUGUAGCUUAUAAAUUGCUAGUCUCACCUUUUGAUUUUUCGAACACCGAAUCACAUCAACAAUCUUCUCUAGGUGGGUGAUCCAGUUCUCCGCAUCAAUUAGAGUCGAAGCUGAACGAAAAGACUUGGACUUCUUCUUAAUAAACCUCCUCAACAACACAUAUAACAUGUAACGUGGGUUAAAUACACUUUUUCCCAUUCUACCCGACCUCGGUUUACAAAUGAAUCAUUGAACUGAAUUUUUUUUUAAUUCGACUCACUGAAUUAUAAUUUUUUUACAAACCGUUACAAAUUCCGUUAAAUUAUUUGACUUUGGACGGAAAAAUUACAGCAGUUGCCAUGUGAGAGAGAGAAACCCAUUUUUGUCAGACAUUUGUCUGUGUGGCAUGUCUAGAUGGAAAACUUGUAUAAAUUUAAUGCUAAAUUAAUCAAAAUCAAAUAAAUAAAAUAAAAUAAUGCAUUCAAAAUAAAAGUACAAUAAAAAUAUUUUUUUUAAUUUUAUUUUAAUCAUGAAUAUUUGUAUAAUUUUAAAUAAAUUAUAUAAAUUACACAUAAUUAUAUAAUUUUCUUUUAAUAUAAAUAACUCAUUAAAUUCAUUAAUUUAAUUAACCUCUCUUCAGAUAAAACUAAAAUUAGUAAUAAAAUGUAUAAAUGUCUGACAUGUUACUGUAUUAAGAUAUAU
rnacentral:lncRNA from 1 species